CUCAGCAGGAAAGAUUGGCCUCUACGUUGGAAGACGUCUGUAGCGUAUGCAUUUCAGAGCAUUCCCACCUUCUCUGUACAAGCUCAGUGAAAUAGAUCAUCCCCACUGACCAAAACAAGUGGAAAGGAAUGGCAACCAGUUUCCUCAGAGCUGUCCCCUCGUUUGAAAUCCUGCCAGUACCAUGGAGCAAGCAAGCUCAGGAGUUGGCCCAUCGUCUGCUCAGCAGUAUCUUCCUUUUCUAAGAGAUUUUUGAGGAGUGUAACUACAAAAGCAUUCUUCCCCAUAACACACAAGCAAGGCUCACAUAUCAUAGUUCAUUCCUUCCAAAUGGGCUAUUUCUUUGCUGCACCUGGAAAGAAUGCCAGAAUCCCAGCUGAUAAAAGUUGGAUUUCACUGAAGUCAGAGGGGAACCUGAAAUCACCAACGGUCGAAGCGACAUAUAAACCUAACAGCAUGAAUGAAGGAAAGGUUCUUAUCUGUCACGGACUAAUUGGCUGGGGCCUACUGUUUCACAUAUCAGAUCUCUCCCUGCUGUUCAGAGAAUCUUGACUAAAAUAACUCU